UUGGAACGGAUCUGUUGUCACUCGGAAGCACGAUUUUUCUAUAAAAACUGGAUCCGACGAAAUGCUUGUCAUUCUCAAGUGAAGUUCACCUUCAAGUUGAAAAAAUAUCAAAAAUGAACGCCAAAGUUGUAUUCGUCUUGUUAGUUGCAGCAAUGCUGGUUGUGGGCAGCGACUGCAGUUACAAGAGACGUGGAUAUUAUGGACGCAGACGUGGAUAUUAUGGACACGUACGUAAAUAUUAUUUCGGAGAUGCGGAAAUUGUUGAAAACAUGCACCAGAUGCUGGAUGAUUUGAUUUCUAGCUUUCCCCAAACGCAAGAAGACAAUUCUGCUAUAGAGCAGGAGGACGUCUCGAAAUAAUUUUGUACCAGACCACACCCUGACAAUGUUGACGGACAUGACUUUCUACUAAAGACCACGACAAUGCCUUUUAUUAUUUACUAAACGUAUAAUCUUCAAAAAGUGUAACUCUAAAAUUUAUGUAGGCCUACGGAAUCAGAUGAAAUAAAUUUGGUCAUAGUUA